AUGCUUGCUUUGGCAGCAUAUAUGCUAAAAUUGGAAUGAUACAGAGAAGAUUAGCAUGGCCCCUGCAUAAGGAUAAUACACAAAUUUGUGAAGCAUUCAAUAUUAAA
ensembl:snRNA U6 U6 spliceosomal RNA